UUUUUCCCUCCCACUCUGGUGCGCCCCUCCCCGCGCGCCCUACAUCCACCGCCCGCCCGAGGGGGCUCAGUCCGCAGUCGUCACUGUCGCCGCCACGCUUGGCCUCGGAGCUGGUAGCGGCCACCGGUGCCGCUUAGACAGCUGCGUGGGCAACCAGUAGCUGUGUCCAGCCCUUCCGGAACACAUCCUGUGUGAGGUCCCUCCAGCUAUAAGGUGGGCACCAUGUCUGAGAAGUUCGACUGUCACUACUGUAGGGACCCCUUGCAGGGGAAGAAGUAUGUGCAGAAGGAUGGCCACCACUGCUGCCUGAAGUGCUUC